GACGGGGCCCGCACAAGCGGUGGAGUAUGUGGUUUAAUUCGAUGCAACGCGAAGAACCUUACCUAGGUUUGACAUCCGGAAAACUUCCCGAAAAGGAAGGGUGCCCUUCGGGGAAUUCCGAGACAGGUGCUGCAUGGCUGUCGUCAGCUCGUGCCGUGAGGUGUUGGGUUAAGUCCCGCAACGAGCGCAACCCUAUUGCCAGUUGCUACCAGGUAAUGCUGGGCACUCUGGUGAGACUGCCCCGGUUAACGGGGAGGAAGGUGGGGACGACGUCAAGUCAUCAUGGCCCUUACGCCUAGGGCUACACACGUACUACAAUGGCGCAUACAAAGGGCAGCGAUACCGCGAGGUGGAGCCAAUCCCAAAAAGUGCGUCCCAGUCCGGAUUGCAGUCUGCAACUCGACUGCAUGAAGUUGGAAUCGCUAGUAAUUCGAGAUCAGCAUGCUCGGGUGAAUGCGUUCCCGGGCCUU
rnacentral:rRNA from 1 species